GUAGUGGUUCAUUUUUAUCAAAUUAUCAAGAUGAACACACAACCUCCGCUGCAUCUUGGUUUUCUUCAGACGACAGCCGUUACAGUUCUCCAUGCCAACAUUCAGACCUCCGCCCCCUCGUAGGGACUCAGUCUACUGGCGGGCUGGCCAGUCUCUGGAGGUCAGGGGGGGCGAAGUCUUCGCAAAACAGAGCAGAGAGAGAGACGGCUAACGGCUGCUUCUAGAGAUACCUCUUCAUGGCCUGACUCCAGACCCAGGGCUCCCCGUACCGUGUCGGUCAGAUCCGGCGGGCUACGGAGGCCAAGGAAGAACAAGAGGACCCAUAGCUUCAGCACCACCCCCAAAUCCCGCCGGACAACCGCCGUGACCUCUGCAAGGUUCUCCUACGACGUCUGGACUAGCGAGGGUUGGAUCCUGAAGGGGUCAAGACCCGGUUACAUGCUCCCGGUGUCUGAGGAGGAAUUUUUGGAGGACAUGCUUUUAGAAAACCCCAGGUUCGCCAGUAAGUCCCAGCGCCAGGCGGCGGCCGCCCUGCCGGUAUACCGGGGACCGUGGCAACAGGAGACGACGGCGACACCGGCGGUGUUGGUACCCACGUCGGGAUCGGGUUCGUCGGCUUCAGAAUGUGACCUCUAUCGCUGACACCGACGAUGCUGCUGCUGUUUUCAUAUGAAAAUCUCUUUUAUAUUCAGUAAAUUCAUCUCCUCUACAAAGCUAUGCUGAAGUAGUCUUUCCUACAUUAUAUAGACUGCCUUGCAUAAGUAUUCACCCCCCUGAGUAAACACAUGUGAGAAACACCUUUGGCAGCGAUUACAACUGUGACUCUUCUUGGGUGAGUCUCUAAGAGCUUUGUACACCUGGAUUGUACAG